AAGGUAUUAGUUCAUGUGUGCCAGUAUUAGUUGUGUAGAUACCAUUGAUAUUGUUAAGUGUAAUAUAAGGUUAGUAGCUGAAUUUAUUUAUCAGAAAGCAUUUUGUAUGUAAUGCUACAUGUAAUAACUUAUAAGGGUAUUUUAAAUUAGCUUAGUAAAUAUUUAUAUACAGGUUUGUGUUUUUGUGGAGUCUUGAGACACUUUAUGAAUUUGUUUUAAAAGUGUUCUUCUUCUGUUUUGAUUUUGGGUUAAAAAAAACUGUAACUAUCAGUUUUCUGCAAGCCAGUUAGGACCCAUUUUCUUCAUUAUCAAUCAUGUAACUUACACUUGUAAUUUUUUCAGGACCAAUCUUGUUCAUGGUAAAGUUUUUUAAUACUAAUCUUGUUAACUGCCAAGUUUGUUUAAUACCAAUAUUGUUCAUGGUCAAUUUUUUUUCAAGACCAAUCUUGUUCAUGGCCAAGUUUGUUCAAUACCAGUCUUGUUCACAGUCAAGUUUGUUCAAUACCAAUUUUGUUCAUGGCCAUAUUUUUUUCAAAACCAAUCUUGUUCAUGGCUGAUUUUUUAUGCCCCCCUUCGAAGAAGAGGGGGUAUAUUGCUUUGCUCAUGUCGGUCGGUCUGUCGGUCGGUCGGUCGGUCCGUCCACCAGGUGGUUGUCAGACGAUAACUCAAGAACGCUUGGGCCUAGGAUCAUGAAAAUUCAUAGGUACAUUGAUCAUGACUCACAGAUGACCCCUAUUGAUUUUGAGGUCACUAGGUCAAAGGUCAAGGUAACGGUGACCUGAAAUAGUAAAAUGGUUUCCGGAUGAUAACUCAAGAACGCAUACGCCUAGGAUCAUGAAACUUCAUGGGUAGAUUGAUCAUGACUCGCAGAUGACCCCUAUUGAUUUUGAGGUCACUAGGUCAAAGGUCAAGGUCACGGUGACCAGAAAUAGUAAAAUUGUUUUUGAAUGAUAACUUAAAAACGCAUACGCCUAGGAUCAUGAAACUUCAUGGGUAGAUUGAUCAUGACUCGCAGAUGACCCCUAAUGAUUUUGAGGUCACUAGGUCAAAGGUCAAGGUCACGGUGACCCGAAAUAGUAAAAUGGUUUUUGGAUGAUAACUCAAGAACGCAUACGCCUAGGAUCAUGAAACUUCAUAGGUAGAUUGAUCAUGACUUGCAGAUGACCCCUAUUGAUUGUGAGAUCACAAGGUCAAAGGUCAAGGUCAUGGUGACCUGAAAUAGUAAAAUGAUUUUCGGAUGAUAACUCAAGAACGCUUUUGCCUAGGAUCAUGACACUUCAUAGGUACUUUGAUCGUGACCCGCAGAUGACCCCUAUUGAUUUUCAGGUCACUAGGUCAAAGGUCAAGGUCACAGUGACAAAAAUCGUAUUCACACAAUGGCUGCCACUACAAUGGACAGCCCAUAUGGGGGGCAUGCAUGUUUUACAAACAGCCCUUGUUUUUCAAGACUUACUCUUGUUCACUGCCAAGUUUGUUCAAUACCAAUCUUGUUCAUAGCCAUUUUUUUUUCAAGACCCAUCUUGUAUAUGGCUGAGUUUUUUCGAGACCAAUCUUGUAUAUGGCUGAGUUUUUUUCGAGACCAAUCUUGUAUAUGGCUGAGUUUUUCAAGACCAAUCUUGUUCAUGGCUGAGUUUUGUUCAAGACCAAUCUUGUUCAUGGCUGAGUUUUGUUCAAGACCAAUCUUGUUCAUGGCUGAGUUUUGUUCAAGACCAAUCUUGUUCAUGAUAAAUUUUGUCAUUUCUAACUGUGUUGAUGAUUUAUACAUGUAUUCCCCUGUGUUCACUCCUUUGCUUAUUCACAAGUCAUGGUUGAUUGUGUUCACAUUUACACGAGAGUUGUGCCUUGUGAUGGUUGUUAAGUUAAUUGAUAUUAUUCAAACAAUAUUUUGCUUUUUGUAUUUUUUGGGGCAUUUGUUAAAGUUGUCACAUUUUUUUUAUUAGUUCUUAUAUCACUUUGUGCUAAGUUUCGUGUAUCCUUUACAUUUUUCUUUUGCAUUUAAUAGACUUUGUACAGCUGAAAGACUUUGAGGAGUUUAAGUUUUUUUUAAGUUCAGAUCUUUCCACAGGGUUUUAUUGAAUCAAUUAUUUAAGGGGUCUAUGGUUUCUAUUGGGGUAUAUUUAGUGCCAUUCCUUUUAGAAGUAUUUUGUUGUACCUUUUUCUAUUAAGUAUACAAUAUUUUUUAUGUAUUUCUAUCUAUCUAUCUUCUGUUUUAUUUUCUCUGUUAUAAAGAACUUAAAGAAAUUA